rnacentral:rRNA from 1 species
GGGAUUAGCAUGCACGCACUCUGAUCAGCAUGCCGCGUGAGUGAUGAAGGCCUUAGGGUUGUAAAGCUCUUUUUGCAGGGAAGAAAAUGACGGUACUUGUAGGAGAAUGACCGGAUAUCUCCGAGCCACCACCCCCGGUAAUGUGCCAUCCGCCGCGGUAAUAUAAUA